rnacentral:lncRNA from 1 species
GGAAAGAAGAUUCAAAGAUCUUUCUUUUGAUAUAUGGUAUCUCUCCCAGUUUAUUAUAUUGAGGGAGUUAUGAUCGUUCAAAGUUGACCCAAAAAACUGGCAGGCCUCAGUAGUUUGUGUGCAGGAAAUUUUCCUGCACAUUUACUGUUCACAUAUCCCGGCCACCGUUUUAUAGUUUCGAACGUGCUCGAUUAUAUCCGAAACUUAUCCGUUUUUGGAAAUCUUUAUAUCGUUGGAAAUCUUAUUCAAUAACCUUCGUAUGGAACCAUCGACGGGCAAAUUCCGGUAUAAAAAAAUCAAAAAAUAAAAAAUUAAUUCCAUAUAAAUAAGAUCAAUACACGUACUUGAAUACGCCAAUACAUGUACUUGAAUACGGGGUGUCACAAGUUUGUACUGGUAAAUUUUGCGAGUGUCAUCAGAUCACAACUUUUGAAAAGUACAGUAAAGAGUGUGAAUCAAAUCCCUGCUAAAGAAAUGCGUCUCAUCAGAGUAAAACUGAUGACUAAAAUUAGGAAGUGUGCUCUUAAGAGUUAAAUUGAAGGACUCGACUAGAAAGUGCGUCUUCUAAGAAUGAACGUUCAAGUUAGGAAGUGCUUCACCUAACAAAUGAAAACUGACUUAUUCAGACUAGGAAGCGCGUCUUCAGGGGUUAAAUGAAAUGACUCGACUAGAAAAUACGUCUUCUAGGAGCGAUGGUUCGAGUUAGGAAGAGCUUCACCUAACAAAUGAAAACUGACUUAUUCAGACUAGGAAGCGCGUCUUCAGGGGUUAAAUGAAAUGACUCGACUAGAAAAUACGUCUUCUAGGAGCGAUGGUUCG